GCAUUCGUGGUGUAGUGGUCAGCACGCUUGACGCGUAACCGAGAGGUCCGUGGUUCGAUUCCCGGCGAAGGAG
rnacentral:tRNA from 1 species